UACGGGGGGGGCAAGCGUUUGUUCGGAAUUACUGGGCGUAAAGGGCUCGUAGGCGGCCAACUAAGUCAUACGUGAAAUCCUUCGGCUCAACCGAAGAACGUCGAUCGAUACUGCUGUUCUUGAGGGUUGCAGAGGAGACUGGAAUUCCCGGUGUAGCGGUGAAAUGUGUAGAGAUCGGGGAGGAACACCGGUGGCGAAGGCGGGUCUCUGGGACGGUACUGACGCUGAGACGCGAAAGCGUGGGGAGCAAACAGG
rnacentral:rRNA from 1 species